rnacentral:rRNA from 1 species
AUUGAACGCUGGCGGCAGGCCUAACACAUGCAAGUCGAGCGGAUGAAGGGAGCUUGCUCCUGGAUUCAGCGACGGACGGGUGAGUAAUGCCUAGGAAUCUGCCUGGUAUUGGGGGAUAACGUCCGGAAACGGGCCCUAAUACCGCAUACGUCCUGAGGGAGAAAGUGGGGGAUCUUCGGACCUCACGCUAUCAGAUGAGCCUAGGUCGGAUUAGCUAGUUGGUGGGGUAAAGGCCUACCAAGGCGACGAUCCGUAACUGGUCUGAGAGGAUGAUCAGUCACACUGGAACUGAGACACGGUCCAGACUCCUACGGGAGGCAGCAGUGGGGAAUAUUGGACAAUGGGCGAAAGCCUGAUCCAGCAAUGCCGCGUGUGUGAAGAAGGUCUUCGGAUUGUAAAGCACUUUAAGUUGGGAGGAAGGGCAGUAAGUUAAUACCUUGCUGUUUUGACGUUACCAACAGAAUAAGCACCGGCUAACUUCGUG